GAUGAACGCUGGCGGCGUGCCUAACACAUGCAAGUCGAGCGAUUCUCUUCGGAGAAGAGCGGCGGACGGGUGAGUAACGCGUGGGUAACCUGCCCCGUACACACGGAUAACAUACCGAAAGGUAUGCUAAUACGAGAUAAUAUGCUUUUAUCGCAUGGUAGAAGUAUCAAAGCUUUUGCGGUACAGGAUGGACCCGCGUCUGAUUAGCUAGUUGGUAAGGUAACGGCUUACCAAGGCGACGAUCAGUAGCCGACCUGAGAGGGUGAUCGGCCACAUUGGAACUGAGACACGGUCCAAACUCCUACGGGAGGCAGCAGUGGGGAAUAUUGCACAAUGGGCGAAAGCCUGAUGCAGCAACGCCGCGUGAGCGAUGAAGGCCUUCGGGUCGUAAAGCUCUGUCCUCAAGGAAGAUAAUGACGGUACUUGAGGAGGAAGCCCCGGCUAACUACGUG
rnacentral:rRNA from 1 species